rnacentral:lncRNA from 13 species
AUGUCUUUGAAAGUCAUAUUCCACCAUUUUCACUACAUUCCAUUGGAUAGCCCUUCCUCCUCUGGAGGCCCCCGUGUCAGCAAAUCGGAUGGCAGUGGAAGGUGGAGAAAUGGAAUCCUACUGGUGGCUCAGGAGGCCUGCACUGCAGAUGUCCUUGAUGAAGAGAAUGAAUGGAAGAGACUGCCAGUGUCCUCCUGGCUGCUGGUCCACAGAGUGAACAGGGUCUUCUCCAGAAGCAGGCGGAUCCUUACCAGAAAGUCCACAGCAGACCCAGGACAAAAAGAUUGUCUUUCGGGGUUCCUGUUGCUUCUCAGCUCUGACCUGUUCCUUCCAGCUUCUCCUAGAGGCAGUGAAUGGGUACUGCUAUGCCACUCAGGACCAAGCAGAAUCCUUCAUAUGGCAAGCGCAGGAGGCUUCAGCAUUAACAGCCCCUCACUCCCCAUCCCCCGGCAACCUUGGGCUAGUCUUUUCUUCCCUCUCUACCAAUCUUCCUUGUCAUCCUGCACCAGGUUACUUUUGUAACUCUCUGGCUUAGUCAGCAGUGCCACUUAUGAGCAAUGCCCGAGAACAGAUAGGAUAAUUUCACAAUCAGUGUAAUUAUGACAGCAAUCAUUCACCCUGGCUGGAGGGGCUGAGGUCUGGGGAGUCCCAGUUGAGGAUCUGGGGCAAAUGGGUUAGCUGGUAGCAUUCAGGUGGUUCAGAUAGCCGUUUUUCUUAAAGGAAUAUAGAUAUAUUUCAUCAUUUUUAAUGACCGGAGCAGUUUUGCCUAUGUGUGUUGGCUGCGUACAUUGUCCUACCAAAGAAUAAAGCUUGGGAUUCUUAUUAGAUAUCCCUCCA